GAACGCGAAGAACCUUACCUGGGCUUGACAUACACUGGAUCGGGCUAGAGAUAGUCUUUCCCUUUGUGGCUGGUGUACAGGUGGUGCAUGGUUGUCGUCAGCUCGUGUCGUGAGAUGUUGGGUUAAGUCCCGCAACGAGCGCAACCCUUGUCUUAUGUUGCCAGCAUUUGGUUGGGGACUCAUGAGAGACUGCCGGGGUCAACUCGGAGGAAGGUGGGGAUGACGUCAAAUCAUCAUGCCCCUUAUGUCCAGGGCUUCACACAUGCUACAAUGGUCGGUACAACGCGCAGCGACACUGUGAGGUGGAGCGAAUCGCUGAAAGCCGGCCUUAGUUCGGAUUGGGGUCUGCAACUCGACCCCAUGAAGUCGGAGUCGCUAGUAAUCGCAGAUCAGCAAUGCUGCGGUGAAUACGUUCCCGGGUCUUGUACACACC
rnacentral:rRNA from 1 species